AACCGCACGGGAUAAUCUAUUAUCCCGUGCGGGCGAGUUAAGUGGACCACACGGGAAGAUGUAUUUUUCCGUGCGGUU
rnacentral:pre_miRNA from 11 species